CGUAGGAGGCGAGCGUUAUCCGGAUUCACUGGGCGUAAAGCGCGUGCAGGCGGUUUGGUAAGUUGGGCGUGAAAGCUCCCGGCUCAACUGGGAGAGGUCGUUCAAUACUACCGAACUGGAGAGUAGAAGAGGAAGAUGGAAUUCCCGGUGUAGUGGUGAAAUGCGUAGAUAUCGGGAGGAACACCAGUGGCGAAGGCGAUCUUCUGGUCUAUUUCUGACGCUCAGACGCGACAGCUAGGGUAGUAAACGGGAUUAGAGACCCCGGUAAUCCUAGCCGUAAACGAUGUGAACUUGGCGUCGGUGGCUUAAACACCAUCGGUGCCGAAGCAAACGCGAUAAGUUCACCGCCUGGGGACUACGGCCGCAAGGCUA
rnacentral:rRNA from 1 species